UAGGGGAAAAAUCGGACAUAGCCAAGAGUAAUGCUGCAUCCAACGAAAUAGCAGAGAAUGUCUUCAUUAUCGAAUGCCAACGCUGAACCAAAGGGCAAACAACAUAGAUUCAGAGACUGACAGCGUCAAGGUAAAAAUGCUGGCUCGUCGCCCGUUCUGGUCCGGUUUUCGGCGACCGUUAUUGCCUUUGCCGUCGCUGCUGGUCUUCGGGCUUCCCAGUUCACCACUAGUCAUUCUGUUUCGGUCCGAUUCGACUUAAUUCUCCAGGUACCGUCGCUGGCGGGACAAUUCAACGACGAUAUUCUUCAAAUAUAUACACACUCAACUCGGAAAAGACAUGUGUAAGUGACGCAAGAGAUGACAACGACCGACUGGUGUAUCUACAACUGCCUUUAGCAAAGUCAAGCAGUCGAACAUAUAAGCAGGUUGCGAAGAGGAUAGAAUGAGACGUGUCAGACACUGUCAACGAGAAUGGAGGAGAUGGAUCGCGCGCGGUCUAAAUCGCGUCCAUCAUUGUCUUCGCUAACGUACCUGCACUUGCCAAUUCCCCAUGACGCUGGCGCACUUUUGGCCGCUCUAAAAUCAAUAACAGAGUACGAUCGGUCGGUCGCCCUGGUUCUCAUCAGGAUGUGCUUGCUACCUCAUUCGUUGCUGUCCAUCUGUUAUGGCCAUGGAACGCGAUAAGGAUGUCAAUUGGGUGAGAGUGGCGAACGAAAGACGGGGCAGGGAGCAAUAGAGCAGCGGAAAAAAUCUCAACGUGGACGAAAGAUCACGCCAUUAUCUAUGGCUUCAACAGCCGAAACUGCUGUUACGGGUGCAAGAAGAGCCGGCCGAUCCAAGCCCCGUCAACUUAGCUCGAGAUCCACUCGGAGUUGUCUGCUUCGUCACCCUGGCACUCUUGUCAUUUCGUCUCAAUUACUCAAGUCGAAGAACCGGCGGCGCUAGGGCAGUUGCAACCGGAUGGUGUGGAUAGUGCCGCUGUAAUAACUGCUGAUGCAGGGGACUGAGG